rnacentral:rRNA from 1 species
UACGAAGGGGGCUAGCGUUGCUCGGAAUUACUGGGCGUAAAGGGAGCGUAGGCGGAUAGUUAAGUCAGAGGUGAAAGCCCAGGGCUCAACCUUGGAAUUGCCUUUGAUACUGGCUAUCUUGAGUAUGGGAGAGGUAAGCGGAACUCCGAGUGUAGAGGUGAAAUUCGUAGAUAUUCGGAAGAACACCAGUGGCGAAGGCGGCUUACUGGCCCAUU